UAAAGGUCGAAGAACACCGCCUCGAAGAACCGUCUCAACCGCUGCCUGACACACGUGCCAGUUUCCAGUCCAUAAUAGCCCCACCGCACCGUUCACAGGGUUAACCGUUCUUCCACACGCUUCAAAUAAUAGAGACUGAAACAGAGCUGAAAACAGAACACUCAAUUAAUACACUAAAAUUAAAAAGCAUAAGCAUUAUUAAUUAAUUUUUGUUGUUAAUUAUAAUUAUAAUUCAAUUAAAUUUGUUAAUUAUUUAAAUUAAUUUAAUUACCUGGUCUUUGUGGUUCAGGGACGUUGGAAAUGAAAGACAUGAGACCAGCGCGACCGAAGAAUUUAGCUACGAAAACAGUAGCGUGGCCUUGAGCUUCUGGUGUUUCGAUCCAUUGUAA
rnacentral:lncRNA from 1 species